AUUGAACGCUGGCGGCAGGCCUAACACAUGCAAGUCGAGCGAGCGUCGGACGGGUGAGUAAUGUAUCUGGACUGCUCGUUAGAGGGGGGUAACUAUUGGAAACGGUAGAUAAUACCGCAUACCCCCGGAUUACGCAUAUGGGAUUAGCUAGUAGGUGGGGUAAUGGCUCACCUCGGCGACGAUCCCUAGAUGGUCUGAGAGGAUGAUCAGCCAAACUGGGACUGAGACACGGCCCAGAAUACAAGGGAGGAAGCAGUGGGGAAUAUUGAAAAAUGGGCGAAAGCCGGAUGCAGCCAGGCCGGGUGGAUGAAGAAGGCCCUCGGGUUGUAAAGUACUGUCAGUGGGGAGGCGGUACUGGCAGAAGAAGCACCUGCUAACUCCGUGCCAGCAGCCGCGGUAAUUC
rnacentral:rRNA from 1 species